GCAUCAGUGGUGUAAUGAUUAACAUGCGGUCUUCCCAUGCGCUGCGCUCAUAAUCUGUGGCCGCGUUCGGGGUUCGAUUCCCCGCUGAUGCA